GACGUAGGUGGCAAGCGUUGUUCGGAAUCACUGGGCAUAAAGCGCGCGUAGGCGGCUGGGUAAGUCACGUGUGAAAUACCUCGGCUCAACCGAGGAACUGCGCGUGAUACUGCCCGGCUUGAGGUCCGGAGGGGAGAGUGGAAUUCCCGGUGGAGCGGUGAAAUGCGUAGAGAUCGGGAAGAACGCCGGCGGCGAAAGCGACUCUCUGGUCGGAAUCUGACGCUGAGGCGCGAAAGCUAGGGGAGCAAACGGG
rnacentral:rRNA from 1 species